GCUUACGGCCAUACCAGCCUGAUUACGCCCGAUCUCGUCCGAUCUCGGAAGCUAAGCAGGGUCGGGCCUGGUCAGUACUUGGAUGGGAGACCGCCUGGGAAUACCAGGUGCUGUAAGCUU
rnacentral:rRNA from 1 species